ensembl:lncRNA
GAACUGGUGGCGCACCGGCAGCGAGGCGAAGAAGAGCACUGACGGCGAUAGGUGAUCGCGAGCAAGGGAAGGUUAGGAGAAUUAGCGCUGCCUGAAAGCAGGAGGAAGAGGGAGAAAACAAAACUAAAGGAUGAAAACAAAACUAGCACGAUCUCGGUGCAGGCAAAACAUGAGCUGUGGAUGGAGCUGAGACAUAAACGAGCACAACACGACGAUCUGACAACAGACAGCACACGAGAGGAGACUAAAUAGAGAAGGAGUGAUUAACAUAAUGCAGAGCAGAUGAUAGUGGCCAAUAACAAAAUAAUAAUGAAACAAGAGGGCGGAGACGAGCACCACGAUGACACAGAAGCACAUGAGCUACCUCCACGAGUGCGCCGAGUGACAAUGCUCCAUGGCCCAAAGACGUCCAGUCCAACAUCGAUAAAAGGGGGUUCUGAGUCUUUUGCAGAUCACACAGUUAUAGAGGACACUAGACACCAGCCGUUUA